CCCCGCUCAAGCACCUGCCGCAGGGGGAUCCAGGCCACUUGCCUUUCUGGCUGACUCGGCUGCAAAUCUUGGGACCUCCCAAUUUUGGUAAUUGAGUAGAAGGACUCAGUAAACUCAGGUGCGCACUGCACUCGGGGUACAAAGGGCAGCGGUGUGACCCGAGCCCACUGCCUUCUUGCUGUUUCCCCAAACUUAUUCAGGCUCCUUCUCUGGCCCCGAGCCGGGAAGUAACUCGCUCCAGUCCCCGGCCAGGGAGUGUUGGAGCCCAGAGACCUGAACCCAAGGGUGCGUUUCUCCCAGAUGUCUAUGUGGAGGGCGCUGUUCCAGCCCCAGGAGGGGCUACCUGUGCUAACGGGCUCUUCCCGCCCGCCCGCGAGGUCUGAGGGUGCUGGAGGGGCUGCAGGGCGGGAAGGCUCCUGAACGCCUUUCCCCGCUCCCCUCAGGUGCGGGGGCUGCCGUCGAUGAGGGGGUGUUCCCCGCCCCUCUCUCUCUCUCUUUCUGUGAAGGCUUCCCGACAACUUCAAAGGUGCUCCUCACCUGGGAGGAGUCCUGCUCCGUAAAGUCCAGGGAGUUACACAGUCCUGGGGCAACUGCCCCUGCAACUCAGGUGGGCACGAGAAGUCCGGGGACCCCGGAUGCGGGUCCCUCCUGCCUGGGCCCGGCGGCCGUGGGCUCUGUGUGGCCGUGUGCUCCCCGCCGCCUCGAGUCCAGUGAAGCUUUUGCUGCUCCUUGUCUGCGAGCUCCAGUCUGGCCUCGCCCGUGUCUCUGCGGUGACUGCUGCUGGGGAGCGAUCCGCCGGUGUGCCCUGGCUGUGGUGCCCACACGGCAUUGCCCGAGAGGAACCUUCCAGAAUCUGCCCCACGUGACGACGCCCACGGCACGUGGCUGGAUCGUAUCAUGGAAGCAACACUGGGAAUGCAUCUGCUGGGAUUCGAACGCACUGUGCCGUCUCCUUCCUAAACCCACCCACUCGCUUUGGGAAAAGUUUUAUUCAGCCUUUAGAGCUGCAACUUUACGAAGACAUGAACAUGCGAACUAUGUCUCGAGCAGAACCAAGCUUAUCCUAAGGACCCGCCGCUGUGGGGGACGCACUCCAAGUGGGCUCAGGAUGGGGACACGGAGGUGAACUUGUCCAUUUCCCCGUGGGAAGUAGAAAUUUGAGGGAUUUCAGAAAAGCCAGC
rnacentral:lncRNA from 1 species